rnacentral:piRNA from 1 species
GCUGAGAAUGAAGAGAGAAAUAUAGGAUGC